UGGAGCUCUUCCUAUCCCUCUGAAUGCCUCCUCCUCUCCGGCCAGGAUGUUGGCUUGGAAGGCACAUCUGGGCAGGCCGGCGGAGUCUCAGUGCCGCCACGCCGGAUCGGGGAUUGUCAGCUCCCCACCGCAAUUGCUCAAGAGGCCAAACUCUGAGGCUCGACGCCUUACCGCCGAUAGCAGCGCCGCCUUUGGAGCCGCUGGAGAUUGCGGAGCACCCGGGGAUGUCUGCGCCGACCCGGCCCGGGCAAGAUAUUCUCUCGCUGACCGAUGGAUCGACCCAGCAGGCAGCUAACCUGGUCUUUGGUUCCAUGUUCGAGUACUCAGAUGAACCGACCGUACGUCAGUUGGUUGGUGUCAGUAUCCUUCUUCCUUUUCUCAAUCGAUGGGAUCCUCUUGUUCUAGAUCCGUCGGUUUCUUCUCCUGGCAUCAUGUAUGCCAUCCUCGUAGUGGUGUAUAGUCCUUGUUGCUAUUAUUUUUUAGUUAUUAUUAGCACAUGUUAAUUCGUACGGAUGGAUUUCAAUAAAAAGGUUGAAAGUUUCUUUU